CGUAACAAGGUUUCCGUAGGUGAACCUGCGGAAGGAUCAUUGUCGAACCUGUCGACCGAACGACCCGCGAACACGUCGUCCGACCACCCCUCGGGCGAGGGGCGCCCAGCGCUCCGACCCCGAAGGAGCGGGAGGCCCCGGGAGCCUCGUCCCCCGUCCCGUGCCGUGCGCGCGGCCGGGGGCGUCUCGCGGUGGCCGUUCCGAGCCAACAACGAACCCCGGCGCGGAAAGCGCCAAGGAAAACGCAACGAAACAGCGCCCUCCCGUCGGCUCGGUCACGGGCCGGUCGGGCGGGGCGGUCGUUUUACUCAUAGAAAACGACUCUCGGCAACGGAUAUCUAGGCUCUCGCAUCGAUGAAGAACGUAGCAAAAUGCGAUACUUGGUGUGAAUUGCAGAAUCCCGUGAAUCAUCGAGUCUUUGAACGCAAGUUGCGCCCGACGCCAUUAGGCCGAGGGCACGCCUGCCUGGGCGUCACGCACUCGUCGCCCCCUCCUCCCCUCCCGUCGAGGGAGGGAGCCGGAGCAGGGGCGGACGUUGGCCUCCCGUGGAGCCUCGCCUCCGCGGCUGGCCCAAAACCGGUCCCGCGGCGACGCGCGCCACGACAAGCGGUGGUCUCGAAAGAACCCCUCCUCCCUUCCCCUCCGUUCGGAGGACGAUGGGGGAGCAGUUCCACGUCGAGCGCGGCGCCUCGCCACGCGGGCACCCAGCGAAAAGGCCCGAGACCCUCGAUCGCGACCCCAGGUCAGGCGGGAACACCCGCUGAGUUUAAGCAUAUCAAUAA
rnacentral:rRNA from 1 species